rnacentral:rRNA from 1 species
AUAUCAGUAAGCGGAGGAAGAGAAACUAACGAGGAUUCCCGUAGUAGCGGCGAGUGAAGUGGGAAGAGCUCAAAUUUGAAAUCUGGGAGUGGAUGACUCCUCGAAUUGUAGUUUAGAGACAUGGAUCAUGACGGGGACAUUGAUGCACAAGUCUUCUGGAAAGGAGUAUCGGAGAGGGUGAUAAUCCCGUUUGGGUGUUGAUGUUCUUGUUGAUGGGGAUGUGUCGAAGAGUCGAGUUGUUUGGGAAUGCAACUCAAAAGGGGUGGUAAAUUCCAUCUAAAGCUAAAUAUUGGCAAGAGACCGAUAGUGAACAAGUACUGUGAAGGAAAGAUGAAAAGGACCUUGAAAAGGGAGUGAAAUAGUGUGUGAAAUUGUUAAAAGGGAAACGAUUAGUGCCAGUAUCGAUGUACAUUGGUGAAAGCAGUCGAGUCAUUUGAUUGUGUUAGUGCUGAUGUGACGAGUCAACGAUGGUUUGUGAUUGCGUAGAUCCUUGAUGGAAAGAUGAUGCAUACGUUUGUGUACAUUUUAUAGUCCAUUGAAGGGGGACGUGAGGAUGGACUGUGGAUGAUUGUCCAUGUACUCUACAUUAUUUGAUGUUGUUUGGAGU